UGCACGAGGGCUUGUUGAAACUGGAGCAGUU
rnacentral:piRNA from 1 species